CUGUAUGGAAUAUGCUGAGGAGAACAAAUCAGGAUAGAGCUCUGCCUUUUGCAGACAGACAGAAGAACACACCAACUGGGCAGAUUGCCCAUCUUCCAAAGGCACCUCCUUCAGCAGCUGCUGAACCAUGAUGAUGUGAUUCUUGCCCCUCAUGAUCAUUUCCGUUUCCUUGACUGCUCCUUAUUGAACAUCGCAGUGCACACAUUGGCAAGAAAACUCUACUGGAAUCUUUAUAAUCAAUAAACCUGUUGUUUGCUGAAGGAUUAUAUCCCAAAACUUGCAUGUUAAACAGGUGCUUGCUAAGAAAAGUGAGUUAAACAAAAUCACCAUUCCUGGAGUAGAUUAGCAUGAAGAAUGAGAAGGAACAGCAGCAGCAGGAGAACAAGAGAGGAAUCAGAUGGUUGCCCUUUAACACACUAUGUUCAGGAGAUCCCUUCCAAGAGGAAUAUAGCAAGAGGCAUCUCCUAUGUGACUGAGCCCGAUUGAGCCUUAAUAUCCGUUUGGAGGAAACUUAGUAAGGAGACAUAGUGAACAGAGGUAACAGACACCUUUCCAAUGAAG